UUAGUAAGUUUAUCGGCUGCGGAUGGCCAUGCGGCGCAUUAGCUAGUCGGCGGGGUAACGGCCCACCGAGGCGACGAUGCGUAGGGGUUCUGAGAGGAAGGUCCCCCACACUGGUACUGAGACACGGACCAGACUCCUACGGGAGGCAGCAG
rnacentral:rRNA from 1 species